GACGGAGGAUGCAAGUGUUAUCCGGAAUCACUGGGCGUAAAGCGUCUGUAGGUGGUUUAAAAAGUCCACUGUUAAAGAUUGAAGCUUAACUUCAAAAAUGCCGUGGAAACUUUUAAACUUGAGUAUGAUAGGGGUAGAGGGAAUUUCCAGUGGAGCGGUGAAAAUGCGUAGAUAUUGGAAAGACCACCAAUGGCGAAGGCAACUCUACUGGGCCAUUACUGACACUGAGAGACGAAAGCUAGGGGGAGCAAACAGGA
rnacentral:rRNA from 1 species